AAUGCACUCUAGUUUAAAAAGCCCAAGGCAACACAUGGACUAGAAUACAAGAUGAAGGUUUAUUAACCACUGUCAUUUUAAUAAUCCUUGCAUCCCAUUUCUGCAAGAUUCACCUUCUCCAACAAACCAGAUGUAUCAUCUGUUGAAAAGACAACAGUUUUAAAAAAGUAUUCAGCCUUGCAGUGCCUCUGUGAUUAAGUUAACAGCUGUUGUUUGAAGUCUAUACCUAGGGAAUUUAUCACUUCAGUUUUCAAAGAACUGUGGUGAGCCUAAAUCCUCUGCUUCUCAGAAAGGACUGGACCACAGAUCACCCUGACCCUGAAGCUACAUCUUCAUCAGCUCCCAGACUACAGCUCAAGCACCCUGCUCACCAGGAGUUAACAAUCAGUAAAGCAAUAUUGCACUAUCUUUAAAA